rnacentral:rRNA from 1 species
UACGUAAGGGGCAAGCGUUGUCCGGAAUUACUGGGCGUAAAGCGUGCGUAGACGGUUAUGUAAGUCAGGUGUGAAAGCCCCGGGCUCAACCUGGGAAUGGCAUUUGAGACUGCAUAGCUAGGGUGCGGAAGAGGGAAGCGGAAGUUUCCGGUGUGAGCGGUGAAAUGCGUAGAUAUACGGAAGGAACAUCAGUGGCGAAAGCGGCUUCCUGGUCCAGCACCGACGUCAGGCACGAAAGCGUGGGGAGCAAACAGG